CAGCCGCCGCGGUAAUACAGAGGGUGCGAGCGUUAAUCGGAUUUACUGGGCGUAAAGCGUGCGUAGGCGGCUUCUUAAGUCGGAUGUGAAAUCCAUGAGCUUAACUUAGGAAUUGCAUUCGAUACUGGGAAGCUAGAGUAUGGGAGAGGAUGGUAGAAUUCCAGGUGUAGCGGUGAAAUGCGUAGAGAUCUGGAGGAAUACCGAUGGCGAAGGCAGCCAUCUGGCCUAACACUGACGCUGAGGUACGAAAGCAUGGGGAGCAAACAGGAUUAGAUACCCGCGUAGUCCCUGUCUCUUAUAA
rnacentral:rRNA from 1 species